rnacentral:rRNA from 1 species
GAACGCUGGCGGCGUGCCUAAUACAUGCAAGUCGAGCGAACGGACGAGAAGCUUGCUUCUCUGAUGUUAGCGGCGGACGGGUGAGUAACACGUGGAUAACCUACCUAUAAGACUGGGAUAACUUCGGGAAACCGGAGCUAAUACCGGAUAAUAUUUUGAACCGCAUGGUUCAAAAGUGAAAGACGGUCUUGCUGUCACUUAUAGAUGGAUCCGCGCUGCAUUAGCUAGUUGGUAAGGUAACGGCUUACCAAGGCAACGAUGCAUAGCCGACCUGAGAGGGUGAUCGGCCACACUGGAACUGAGACACGGUCCAGACUCCUACGGGAGGCAGCAGUAGGGAAUCUUCCGCAAUGGGCGAAAGCCUGACGGAGCAACGCCGCGUGAGUGAUGAAGGUCUUCGGAUCGUAAAACUCUGUUAUUAGGGAAGAACAUAUGUGUAAGUAACUGUGCACAUCUUGACGGUACCUAAUCAGAAAGCCACGGCUAACUACGUGCCAGCAGCCGCGGUAAUACGUAGGUGGCAAGCGUUAUCCGGAAUUAUUGGGCGUAAAGCGCGCGUAGGCGGUUUUUUAAGUCUGAUGUGAAAGCCCACGGCUCAACCGUGGAGGGUCAUUGGAAACUGGAAAACUUGAGUGCAGAAGAGGAAAGUGGAAUUCCAUGUGUAGCGGUGAAAUGCGCAGAGAUAUGGAGGAACACCAGUGGCGAAGGCGACUUUCUGGUCUGUAACUGACGCUGAUGUGCGAAAGCGUGGGGAUCAAACAGGAUUAGAUACCCUGGUAGUCCACGCCGUAAACGAUGAGUGCUAAGUGUUAGGGGGUUUCCGCCCCUUAGUGCUGCAGCUAACGCAUUAAGCACUCCGCCUGGGGAGUACGACCGCAAGGUUGAAACUCAAAGGAAUUGACGGGGACCCGCACAAGCGGUGGAGCAUGUGGUUUAAUUCGAAGCAACGCGAAGAACCUUACCAAAUCUUGACAUCCUUUGACAACUCUAGAGAUAGAGCCUUCCCCUUCGGGGGACAAAGUGACAGGUGGUGCAUGGUUGUCGUCAGCUCGUGUCGUGAGAUGUUGGGUUAAGUCCCGCAACGAGCGCAACCCUUAAGCUUAGUUGCCAUCAUUAAGUUGGGCACUCUAAGUUGACUGCCGGUGACAAACCGGAGGAAGGUGGGGAUGACGUCAAAUCAUCAUGCCCCUUAUGAUUUGGGCUACACACGUGCUACAAUGGACAAUACAAAGGGCAGCGAAACCGCGAGGUCAAGCAAAUCCCAUAAAGUUGUUCUCAGUUCGGAUUGUAGUCUGCAACUCGACUACAUGAAGCUGGAAUCGCUAGUAAUCGUAGAUCAGCAUGCUACGGUGAAUACGUUCCC